UAAAACAUUUUACAGUUGUAGUAAAGGCGAUUGAAACAUCUUUUGGAGUAAUAUUUUUAGUACCGCAAGGGAACAGUGAAAUAAAAAUGAAAUAACUAUUAAGCACCUAAUAGUAGAGACCUUCCCUCGUACCUUUUGCAUCAUGAUUUAACUAGUUUAUCCAAGCAUAAUGUAUUAAAGUUUGCCUCCCCGAAACUAAGCGAGCUACUUCAAGGCAGUUCCAAGAACUAACCCGUCUCUGUAGCAAAAGAGUGGGAAGACCUUCAAGUAGAGGUGACAGACCUAACGAGCUUAGUGAUAGCUGGUUACUUGAGAAAAGGAUCUUAGUCCAACCCAACUCUUAUAAAAUACACCUAAAUAAAAACUAAAAUUUGGAGUAAUUCAAAUAAGGUACAGCCUAUUUGAAUCAGGAUACAACCUCAAUAAAUGGGUAAUUAAACUUUUAUGUAAUAAAGUAGGCCUAAGAGCAGCCAUCUUCAAAAAGCGUCAAAGCUUAUUCACAAAUCAACUUAAUCCCCCUAAUUUUUAAAAACCCUUAAUCUCUAUCAAGUAACUCUAUAAAAUUAUAGAACCUAUUAUGUUAAAACUAGUAACAAGAACAAGAACUUCUCUCUAAUGCAAGUGUAAAUCAGACUGGACAAACCACUGAUUCUUAACACUUUGAAGCCAGAGUAAUAACCUACCAAGAAAAUCUUACUUCACUUAAUGUUAACCUGACACAAGAGCAUUCUCAGACAGNUUAAAAGGAAUAGAAGGAACUUGGCAAAUAUUAACCUCGCCUGUUUACCAAAAACAUCGCCUCUUGAUAAUAUAUAAGAGGUCCAGCCUGCC
rnacentral:rRNA from 1 species